rnacentral:rRNA from 1 species
GAUGAACGCUAGCGGCAGGCCUAACACAUGCAAGUCGAGGGGUAACUAGAGUGAUAGCAAUAUUACUUUGGCUAGACCGGCGCACGGGUGCGUAACACGUAUGCAACCUACCUUAUACUGGGGAAUAACUUCGAGAAAUCGGCGCUAAUACCCCAUAACAUUGCGAAGAGGCAUCUCUUUGCAAUUAAAGCUCCGGCGGUAUAAGAUGGGCAUGCGUCCAAUUAGCUAGUUGGUGAGGUAACGGCUCACCAAGGCUACGAUUGGUAGGGGUUCUGAGAGGAUGAUCCCCCACACUGGUACUGAGACACGGACCAGACUCCUACGGGAGGCAGCAGUGAGGAAUAUUGCGCAAUGGACGAAAGACUGACGCAGCCAUGCCGCGUGCAGGAUGACGGCCCUAUGGGUUGUAAACUGCUUUUGUACGGGAAUAGACCCUUCUACGUGUAGGAGGCUGAAGGUACCGUAAGAAUAAGCACCGGCUAACUCCGUGCCAGCCGCCGCCGUAAGAC